rnacentral:tRNA from 1 species
GAGGAUGUAGCUCAGUGGGAGAAUGCCCACCUAUUAUGUGUGAGGCCCUGGGUUUGAGUCCCAGCAUCACCA